CCUACGGGUGGCAGCAGUGAGGAAUAUUGCUCAAUGGGCGGAAGCCUGAACCAGCCAAGUAGCGUGCGGGAUGAAGGCCCUACGGGUCGUAAACCGCUUUUGCACGGGGAUAACACCCGCCGCUUGUGGAGGUCUGCAGGUACCGUGCGAAUAAGGGCCGGCUAAUUCCGUGCCAGCAGCCGCGGUCAUACGGAAGGCCCGAGCGUUAUCCGGAUUCAUUGGGCUAAAAGGGAGCGUAGGCGGGCAUUCAAGUCAGCUGUAAAAUGGAGCGGCUUAACCGCGCCACGCAGUUGGAACUGGAAGACUUGAGUGCAGAAGAGGAAGGCGGAAUUCGUGGUGUAGCGGUGAAAUGCUUAGAUAUAAGGAGGAACACCGGUGGCGAAGGCGGCCUGCCGGAGUGCGACUGACGCUGAGGCACGAAGGUGCGGGUAGCAAACAGGAUUAGAUACCCUUGUAGUC
rnacentral:rRNA from 1 species